CAACAGGACGCUGACUUUCGUUGACUUAACGGCCACAGGUGUCGCUGUUAACAAGCAUUUCUGAUUCUUACAAACAGUCCCUUUAAGCUGACGAUUAUUUUUCUGAUUAAUCGAUUAAUUGAACGUGCUAUUAAGACUUUAUAGGAAUAUUUAGAAAUUUUAGGAUUACGCUUAUUCGCUGCCUUGCUGAAAGUUAGAUGAGAAGAUCAAUACCACUCAAGUUGCCGGGCUAUUUCUUGGCCCGAGCAAUAACUUCUGGAGUCUCUGGUGGUUGCCUGGCAACCUCACGGUGAGGCCCAGACUGCAGGUAACUUUGUUUUCUGUAAAGAUCAAACAAACAAGAUAUAUAAUGUGUUAAUCACUGAACUUAAGAGGUACUGGUAGACGGAAGGAGCCGGACGAACUGUUUUACCCUGUUUCCAGUCAUGAGAGAAUGAAGUAGGAGACCUCUUGAGUCCAACACAUUUACAUAUUCAUAGGUUGUGUAUUUUUGAAUUAUAUGGAACAAUGUGGAAAGCCCAUAUCAGACGGAACAUUUUAUUCAAAGCAGAUUAUUAUUAUUUGUUAUUAUGUGUUUUUUAAAAUCUGUCAGAAGAUGAUAUUUUAAAGUAGACUCAGUCUUAAGUUAGAAGUUAAAUAGGUCAUAAUUCAUUCACUAUUAUCUUUUUCAUAUUGUUGUGAAAACAUAUCCUUCAAACAACUGUAUUUAUUCAAGUUUCUCCCCAAAAACUACAUUUGAACCCAUCAUAACGUUAGAGUUUACCUUCGCCCAUAACUCAUUUUUACUGAAUAGAGCCUGAACGCAUCAUAAUGUAAAACAGGGAAAAAUUAGGGUGUGUCCCCUGGCGGCGUCAAUAGUGAGUUUACUGCGUCCCAAACACUUUUUCUAUUGUUCCUGGGACGCCGUUAGUCUCGAGUCCUGGCAGUACACAGUACCUAUGGCCGAAAAAACGGCACCAUUUUCAGAAAUUUUAGCAUUGACUUGGUACCAAAGUAUCGGUUCUCGUGACAUCCCUAGUCACAUCCCACCCCUACCGGUCCACGAGACCACUCUGUGACAGCUUACCGGUCCUCACAUCCAGUGUGAAAUUUGUAUUUACUUUCUAUUCUGAGAGAGAAAUUGGAUAUUUUUACUUUCACUCCUCUGUAGUUGGGGUUUUCUGGAGCCAGUAUGUAGUGGCUGUUUAACUGCAUUUUAUUGCACUUCCACAUAGAUCUUGGGUUUUAGAUUAGUAUUAAGAUCAUGUUAAGUCUUCAUAAGGUCACUAAUAUGUGUGUGUGUGUGUUAGGCUGCGGCUCAGGUGGCCCUGUGGAACCCCUUAGAUAGAUGAGUCAGCAGGCCGGGCCGAGGCACUCACUCAUGUUGAUGGAGCCUGGGAAUGAGUCUCAGUGAGUCCAGCUCCGGGCUGUACAGGCGAUAGCAGGUCUUUAUUUAUGAGCUGAGCAUGAUGAGUGAUUCCAAAACAGAUACCCCACCACAUCCAAUCAGGUUUAUGUGAUUAGAGAGACGAGACGAUUCCCCUGCUCAAAAGCUACUCUCCAAUCUUUGGUAAAAUAGAAAAAAAUAUGAUGAAAUAAACAAGCAAAAAGACAUCAAGCAUCCAGCAGGCAGUCCCUCUCUGCAGGGAUUCGGCUUCCCCAAAACUCCAAAGCCUGAGGAUAGAUAGAUUUCGGUUUCAUCCUCA